GCCGGUUCGCCCCUCUCCCUCGAAUCUUCGGCCGUCGUCCGUAGAUCAGGCGACGCCGCCUCCUACUCUCUCUCACAAUCAAAACCCACACCUCACACCGUCCGCGACGUCUUUCUCCUUGGAAACGGCGAGAUUCGUCGCUUCCUCCCUCUCUACACUGCUCUACCUCCGUCCGUGGCCAGACGACAGCGGCAGGGCCGCCGCGCCCUAGCCUCCCUAUAUGAAAACCCAACCACCGCCCCAACCCAUUUCUCCUCAAGUCUCUCUCACUGAAUCAGUCCGGCUAGCAACCAUGAAGGCCGCCGCCGCUGCCGACGACUCGACGACUCAGGCUCGACAGAAAACACUCACCACACCAACACAUUCAAACAGCAGGAUAAAUCAUAGAGGAAAAAGGGAGGAGAUUCUAGCAAGAUUUACCUUGAAUGAUGGAAGAGAAUGAUGAAGGUUUCCUGUUCUUCUCAUGGGUUUUCUUCAGUGAUAAUGAAGAGAGUUGCUAGCUGAUGUUGUUUAAAGGAGGGCAACAGAUUUUGUGUAGGGUGGUUGAAUUGACAAGCUAUUGUACUUAAGACAUGGUCUUGGUUUGAAAAAGAAAAAGGGGCUGCAGGUGAGGAUGUCGCAGGUAGGGUUGUAAAUGAAUCGAAUAUUUUGUUCGAUUCGAGAUUCGAUUCGAAAUUGUGAUGGAAGAAUAAUUCGUAUCAAUUGGCGUCGUCUGUGGGAAAGAAUCAAAGUUAUGUCGUGAGUUCCGACGAGCUUACCAAAAAAAUAAAAAUAAAAAAAUAGGGGAGAUUCGAUCUGCAAAGUUUUCCGGUGGUUUUCUCUUUCAGUAUGCGGCGACGGUAGAGGUUUAUGUCUGGGUUUUCAGAUUUCGGCAGGAGGUUUCCCUGUUCGGGCUUCCAGUUUCCAGAUCAGGAUUUAGAUUUAUGUUCUUUUAUUUUCCACAUUCUGAAUUAAACAAAGAAUAGCUUUGGGUCCUAUUCAUCUUUAGCGAAAUGAGGGAGGAAGGGAUUUUGGGCUGAGGAAGCGGCUAUGAAAACCGACAAGACUCUCCAAUAAGAAGGAACGAAUUUCUGAGAAAUCUGGGGAAAAAUUGGGAAAUUCGAUCUGUGUACCUCUCUUUGUACUCAAAAAUUGGAAAGAUAACAGGAAAAUCCGAUCUGUGUGGAUCUGGGAAAUCUCACUCUCUCGCGAUGAUCUUCUCCCCAAACAUCUGCAGUUCUGAUAUUUCAGCAAAGUCGUGGCUCGCCCCUAAAAUUCGGCACACAACUCCUCCAUCGAUUUCCCUUCCAACAUGCUAAAUAUCGAGCCUUAGCUCUUACCUCGUAAAUCACAGCUGAUAUUCUGCAGAUUCCGGCAGCAUCGCCGUCUAUCGCCACGACCACUGCUGUGAAAACCCCAUUCCUCUUCCUCUGGCUUAAGCCCUGUGCUCGAACAAGCUCGAGCUCUACUGUCCGUACGCCUUUCCAGCGCCGGUGUCCUACUCGUUUGGAUGCUCUGGUUAGCAAUGAGGCUCACCGCCUUCGUCCUAACUCUAUUCGGCAGAGAAGGGGAGCCGUCGCUUUUCUCGGCAGUCCCCAACUCUCGUCGCUCAGCCGUCGAUUUUCGGCUUGACCGAGCUCUACCAACUCAGUCCGAUUUCAGGCAUCAGAAGGCUCCAAGGGUGGAUUGCCCCAUCAGAAUUGAGCACCAGAAAUCAAGAAAACUUCAAGGAAGAGAUUCCAUCCAUUCAUCAAAGAAAACUUCAAAGGGAGUUUGAAUUUCUAUUUAGCUGUGAUUACGUUCAAAUUUUUAGUGUAUGGCAUUGACAGUGUAUAUACAGUUGCAGGACUCUUGGAAAUGUUAAGCGUGUACUUCAAGGGUCCAUUGGCUCUCAGGAAAAGAAGCAGACAACAAUCUGUUGAUACAUGUCGAUCUUGUUGAUUCAGUUGGGUAGCCUCUUGCCUCCAAUGCAAAUAACUGAGGUGGAUUAUGACCUCUGCUCGCUUAUGAUAGCAGUUGGGAGAUGAUGAACUAUUGGAGGUGGACAGAAAGGCUACCAGCAACUGGGGAAUUUGGAUCCAAAUCCAGUCGAUUCAAGUUCAAAAGAUUGGGCUUCCAUUUUUCAGAUCUUCUCUCUCGAAUAUUUGGGGGAAAUCAUCAUGGUUUUUAACUUCAUGGGUUUUUAACUUUUGCUCUUGGUCCUCAGAUUCCAUGAUGUUAGGUCCGGAGGGUCUCUAAUAGGUGUAUGGGGAGAAUACACCUAUAGGUUAUUUUUUAAAAAUAAACUUGAAAUACAAAUUGAGUCAACCUUUUUACUUAAAAGAGUUUUAUCUA